ACCCCACACUGGCGACGCCUCCACGUGGCGUGGGGUGGGCAACUGUGCCCCUGGCACAGGCGAAGAGCGCCA
rnacentral:ribozyme from 1 species